GACGAACGCUGGCGGCGUGCCUAAUACAUGCAAGUAGAACGCUGAAGGAGGAGCUUGCUUCUCUGGAUGAGUUGCGAACGGGUGAGUAACGCGUAGGUAACCUGCCUGGUAGCGGGGGAUAACUAUUGGAAACGAUAGCUAAUACCGCAUAAGAGUAGAUGUUGCAUGACAUUUGCUUAAAAGGUGCAAUUUCAUCACUACCAGAUGGACCUGCGUUGUAUUAGCUAGUUUGGGGGGUAACGGCUCACCAAGGCGACGGUACAUAGCCGACCUGAGAGGGUGGAGGGCCCAACUGGGAAUGAGACACGGCCCAGACUCCUACGGGAGGCAGCAGUAGGGAAACUUCGGAAAUGGACGGAAGUCUGACCGAGCAAAGCCGCGUGAGUGAAGAAGGGUAUCGGAGCGUAAAGCUCUGUUGUAAGAGAAGAACGAGUGUGAGAGUGAAAAGUUGACGCUGUGACGGUAUCUUACCAAAAAGGGACGGCUAACUACGUG
rnacentral:rRNA from 1 species